rnacentral:lncRNA from 1 species
UCAUAUCGCAACGUAAAUACAUCAGACCUCAUUAUGUUCUUCCUCCAAUUCAAAGGAAUAACAACUGAUUUUCUUCAAAUCUAUUGCAGGGCAAGCUUUGAGAAAUGACCAGAAAGUAAAGAAAGUUCAUAUUGAACAAAAACGAUCGGAAAAUAAAUUUCAACUAUUGAAUCAGAACAGUACAAGUACAAAAACCUCGUUGUGACAUACAUUCUCUUGUACUUGCCUGCCCUUAGCAAUGGACAUCAACACUCGCUGACACAAGCUAAGAUGGACCAGCACAUGGUUGAACUGCAUAAAAACACAGACGAACCAACCCACGAUUUAUCAUUUGAUCUGACUAAGGAGUAUGUCUGACUUAUUUGUAUUGAUCCAUGUUAUGGUGAGCAUUCAAAACAUAUAUCC